rnacentral:rRNA from 1 species
GCUGGCGGCAGGCUUGAACACAUGCAAGUCGAGCGGAUGUAGCAAUACAUCAGCGGCAGACGGGUGAGUAACACGUGGGAACGUACCUUUUGGUUCGGAACAACACAGGGAAACUUGUGCUAAUACCGGAUAAGCCCUUACGGGGAAAGAUUUAUCGCCGAAAGAUCGGCCCGCGUCUGAUUAGCUAGUUGGUGAGGUAACGGCUCACCAAGGCGACGAUCAGUAGCUGGUCUGAGAGGAUGAUCAGCCACAUUGGGACUGAGACACGGCCCAAACUCCUACGGGAGGCAGCAGUGGGGAAUAUUGGACAAUGGGCGCAAGCCUGAUCCAGCCAUGCCGCGUGAGUGAUGAAGGCCCUAGGGUUGUAAAGCUCUUUUGUGCGGGAAGAUAAUGACGGUACCGCAAGAAUAAGCCCCGGCUAACUUCGUGCCAGCAGCCGCGGUAAUACGAAGGGGGCUAGCGUUGCUCGGAAUCACUGGGCGUAAAGGGUGCGUAGGCGGGUCUUUAAGUCAGGGGUGAAAUCCUGGAGCUCAACUCCAGAACUGCC